rnacentral:tRNA from 1 species
GGAAGUGCGCAGCUCACUGGUGGGGCUCCCGGACUUCAAAUCCGGUGUGGGGCGCUAACUACGUCCCGGGUGGGUUCGAUUCCCAUGCACUUCCGCCA